GGGUUGUGAGGUUAAGCGACUAAGCGUACACGGUGGAUGCCCUGGCAGUCAGAGGCGAUGAAGGACGUGCUAAUCUGCGAUAAGCGUCGGUGAGGUGAUAUGAACCGUUAUAACCGGCGAUUUCCGAAUGGGGAAACCCAGUGUGUUUCGACACACUAUCAUUAACUGAAUCCAUAGGUUAAUGAGGCGAACCGGGGGAACUGAAACAUCUAAGUACCCCGAGGAAAAGAAAUCAACCGAGAUUCCCCCAGUAGCGGCGAGCGAACGGGGAGGAGCCCAGAGCCUGAAUCAGUGUGUGUGUUAGUGGAAGCGUCUGGAAAGGCGUGCGAUACAGGGUGACAGCCCCGUACACAAAAAUGCACAUAUUGUGAGCUCGAUGAGUAGGGCGGGACACGUGGUAUCCUGUCUGAAUAUGGGGGGACCAUCCUCCAAGGCUAAAUACUCCUGACUGACCGAUAGUGAACCAGUACCGUGAGGGAAAGGCGAAAAGAACCCCGGCGAGGGGAGUGAAAAAGAACCUGAAACCGUGUACGUACAAGCAGUGGGAGCCUCUUAAUGG
rnacentral:rRNA from 1 species